AGUGGGGGUGAGCGGAGGGUUGUAGCAGGUGGUAGCUGUGCAUGCAUGCUGCUGCUGCUGCUGUCGUCGUCAUGUGAAGGCUAAGAGAGGAAGGCUGGAUGAGUGCAAAGCUUGUAAUCUGGAAAACGCCCCGGACAGCUCAUGAGAUGGAAUAUUGGAGUGGAGAGGAGAGAAAAGUAUUGCCCGGAAACAGCAGAACUGAUUCAGGAGGGCAAUCCAUCCCUUUCUCCACCUAACACUUCAGCAUCAGGCCAUAGAUACUCUGGAUACAGUGAGGAUGGUUUCUGGCUCACAGGUGAAGAAUAUUUGGAGAGAAAAAUCAUUGCUUGGAGAAUAUUCUCGUUCAGAUCUGGUUUCAUCAGUACAGCUUACAGCACUGAGUGAGAAUAAAGCUAGUAUGUGCACAUAAAGGAAACUGACAGCUGCAUUACUAAUUCUUGCUUUGACUGCUCAUGCUCCCUUUGAAUAAAAAAAAAAGAAACAAUGCUUCAUGGAAAAACAGAAUACACUUUAAA